GACAAAGAGAGAGACGCAGGCUCCGGUUUCUGAAUCAGCUGGCUGCCAAUCUGACAUUUGUUCGUGUCCACGAUUGGAAAGCUGUGCAGGAAAAUUGACGCUUAAGGAGAAAGACAAGGCAGAUAGCUGCUCAGACCUGCACCAAGGAUCAAGGAGAGCGAAACAAGGAGGAAUAGGAAAGCGAGGCUUGUGAGCUCUGGUGAAACACCUUUUCU